AAUUAUUCUCUUUCUCUGCGACUGUUUUACAAAAAGGAUCGCUGAUCUAUCGUGACCGUGAAAUUUAUGACCCAUAUACAUUGCCGUACUGUACCAACGUCAUGUCGAAAGAGGUCUCUCGUGUUUGAUCAAUUUUUCACGAUCGCGGGCUAAUUAUGGAGGAAGAUUACUUUGAGUUCCAGAAACUAGUUUGACGUGACGCAAAAACUGGAUGCAUCUAAACUUUCGGCAAAAUAUAAUCGUCACAAAGAGAAUCGCGAGUGAAAGUGACGACAAGAUCUGGGGUUUUGGUGGUUCAGAGUUUCAGACCUGA